rnacentral:rRNA from 1 species
UACGGGGGGAGCAAGCGUUGUUCGGAUUUACUGGGCGUAAAGGGCGCGUAGGCGGCCACCGCAAGUCGGUUGUGAAAUCUCUGGGCUUAACCCAGAAAGGUCAACCGAUACUGCGGGGCUAGAGUGCAGAAGGGGCGACUGGAAUUCUCGGUGUAGCGGUGAAAUGCGUAGAUAUCGAGAGGAACACCUGCGGCGAAGGCGGGUUGCUGGGCUGACACUGACGCUGAAGCGCGAAAGCUAGGGGAGCGAACGGG